ACGAGACGGGAUGGAAUGACCCUUCGGGGGAAUGAAAUCCUAGAAAGUGGCGAACGGGUGAGUAACGCGUGGGUAACCUGCCCUAUGGAAAGGAAUAGCCUCGGGAAACUGGGAGUAAUGCCUUAUAAUAUACGAGAGUCGCAUGGCUUUUGUAUUAAACGCUCCGGUGCCAUAGGAUGGACCCGCGUCCCAUUAGCUAGUUGGUGAGAUAACAGCCCACCAAGGCAACGAUGGGUAACCGGUCUGAGAGGGCGAACGGUCACACUGGAACUGAGACACGGUCCAGACUCCUACGGGAGGCAGCAGUGGGGAAUAUUGCGCAAUGGGGGCAACCCUGACGCAGCAAUACCGCGUGAGUGAAGAAGGUUUUCGGAUCGUAAAGCUCUGUUAUUGGGGAAGAAAAAAGACGGUACCCAAGAAGAAAGUCCCGGCUAACUACGUGCCAGCAGCCGCGGUAAUACGUAGGGGACAAGCGUUGUCCGGAUUUACUGGGCGUAAAGGGCACGCAGGCGGUUUUUUAAGUCAGAUGUGAAAGGUACCGGCUCAACCGGUGACAUGCAUUUGAAACUGAAAGACUUGAGUAUUGGAGAGGCAAGUGGAAUUCCUAGUGUAGCGGUGAAAUGCGUAGAUAUUAGGAGGAACACCGGUGGCGAAGGCGGCUUGCUGGACAAAUACUGACGCUGAGGUGCGAAAGCGUGGGGAGCAAACAGGAUUAGAUACCCUG
rnacentral:rRNA from 1 species